rnacentral:lncRNA from 1 species
CAGAUUUACAAAAAUUUAAGCGAGUUUAGGAUAUUGAUCUGACGCAAAUGUCGAUAGUCGCAUCUAUCAUCACUGCUUAUGACUUUCCAGUUUGGGUUAUUUUGGAAGGAAAACGAAAAUAAAGGCGUCCGGAUAUUUUGUCCGUCAUCAGACUGACUUUUGAGGCAUAUAAUAAAGCCUUCCGUUCAAGACAGUUUUAAAAUUACACAUAAUUUUCUUCAGUACCAGGGGACAGG